rnacentral:sRNA from 12 species
AGCCUAACCCGACUCGUCGGCACGGUUGUCUAAAUCCAUGUAAAGAAACAGCUCGUCAUAGGGUAUUUCUUUACAUGGUCAUAUCGGGAAACUGAUAUGGGGGCUUCGGCUCC